UUCAGCGCUCAGCAGGUUUAGUGGCAUAUAUAAUCAGCGGUUUUGUGUUUUGUGCUCAGCAUAAAAUACUAGAAGUGUCUUGAAAGACGAAUUUGCAAAUAUGUAGUGUUGCUGAAACGUGAUUUUCUUUUACGUAAACGUUUUGUUGUUAAAAUACUGUGUGACCGGUUGGACCUGGAGAUUUCAAGACUUCCUUUAGGUUUGAUAGUUUGCACGUGGGUUCGACCGGCUAUACCUUCCCCAGUUUAGGCCACUUUUUUAUCCCUAAAACAAGAAAAUAUAAUUAGUAAUGGAAAAGAAGGACCAUUUGAAGUGUAGGAUUUGUUUAAUUAAAAUUGAACCAGGAGUUUUCAGUGGAAAUAUCUUUGAGCAAACUCGUGUAGGACUGUCGAUAUGUGAGUUGUUGACAAAUUUAACAUCCAUUCAGUUUCAUCAAGGCGAUCCUUUACCAAAUGUAAUUUGUGGAAUCUGCGAGGGAAAAGUAAAUGUUGUUUUAGACCUUUAUUCAACUAUUGUAGCUUCUGACCAAGAGCUAAAAAAACAUUUUCAAGCAAAAGCUACUUUCACUCAUCAAAUAAAAACAGAACCGUCUAUUGAUGUUGCUGAAAAAAAGGUUGUGAAUGAGAAACCGUCGAAAGAUAUAGUUUCAAAACAACGUAGAUAUGGUUGUGAUCUUUGUUCCAAGAAAUUUAGUCUAGAAUCGGCUUUAAAAGAUCAUAAGAGGAGUCACAUAUCUAAAAAAUCGCGUAAAAAACCCUUCAAAUGUCAUCAUUGCAACAGAAGAUUUAAGAAACGGUUAGGUUUGUUCGCUCACAUGGGAACACAUAAUCCACAAUAUUAUAAGAUUGAUGAAAAGUUUGAUACCAAUGUCAUACCUCACACUAUUAAAAAACUGUUUUUGUGUGAGGUUUGUGGCAAAAGAUGCAGCACUAAGAUGGGUCUAAAACAGCAUUCAAAUAUUCACAAGCCGAAGAGAUGCAAAUUUUGUAACGCUGCGUUUUCAUCUACGAAACUUAUGAGGACUCACGUAUACAAUGGGUGCACUUACAACGAAACAAGAAUUAGUAAAUAAUUUAGAAUUGAAAGUUUUUUAAGUUUUUAGAAUCGUUUGCUAAUUUUAAAAAUCAAGUUAAAUUUGAAAUGAGCUAUUUAUUUUGUUAUAUUAUGAAACUAAUUUGGGCCUAAUAAAUUACUAACGAACA